rnacentral:rRNA from 1 species
AGAGUUUGAUCCUGGCUCAGAGUGAAUGCUAGCGAUAAGCGUUACACAUGCAAAUCGGACGAGACUAUGUAAUAGUUUAGUGGUGUACGGGUGAGUAAAGCAUAAGAAUAUACAACAUAGUUUGGGAUAAUUUUACGAAAUAAAUACCAAAUAUCAAAAGAUUUAUUGCUAUGUGAUUAGCUUAUGUAGGAUUAGGUAGUUGGAUAGGUAAUAGCUAAACAAGCCUAAGAUCUUUAACUGUUCUGAGAGGAUGUACAGUCACACUGGGAUUGAAAUAAGGCCCAGACUCCCUUGGGGGGCAGCAGUGGGGAAUAUUGGACAAUGGGCGAAAGCUUGAUCCAGCAAUAUCGCGUGAGUGAUUAAGGUAAUCUACUGUAAAACUCUUUUGUCAAUGAAGAUUAUGACUAUAAUUGAAGAAUAAGCCCUGGGCUAACUUCGUGCCAGCAGCUGCGGUAAUACGGAGGGGGCAAGUGUUACUCAUCAUUACUGGGCGUAAAGGGUACGUAGAUGGUUAACAAAGUUAUAAAUUAAAUUCAUGCAUCGAAUGUGUGUUAUAAGUUUAUAAUACUAGUAAACUAGAGAUUUAGAGAGGAAAGUGGUAUUUUUGGGGAAGGGGUAGAAUCCAGCCAUUUCAAAAAGACAACCAAAGGCGAAGGCAACUUUCUGGUAUAAUCUGACAUUGAGGUACGAAAGCAUAGGGAUCAAACAGGAUUAGAGACCCUGGU